GCCUGUGUGGUGCAGUGGUUUGAGCGCUGGACUAUAACUUUGGAGAUCAGGGUUCAAAUCCAGGCUCUGCCA